AAUAACCCGGCGAAAGUCGGACUAAUACCGCAUAAAACAGGGGUUCCACAUGGAAAUAUUUGUUAAAGAAUUAUCGCUGAUAGAUGGGCAUGCGUUCCAUUAGAUAGUUGGUGAGGUAACGGCUCACCAAGUCCACGAUGGAUAGGGGUUCUGAGAGGAAGGUCCCCCACACUGGUACUGAGACACGGACCAGACUCCUACGGGAGGCAGCAGUGAGGAAUAUUGGUCAAUGGGCGAGAGCCUGAACCAGCCAAGUCGCGUGAAGGAUGAAGGAUCUAUGGUUUGUAAACUUCUUUUAUAUGGGAAUAAAGUGAGGAACGUGUUCCUUUUUGUAUGUACCAUAUGAAUAAGCAUCGGCUAACUCCGUGCCAGCAGCCGCGGUAAUACGGAGGAUGCGAGCGUUAUCCGGAUUUAUUGGGUUUAAAGGGUGCGUAGGUGGUUAAUUAAGUCAGCGGUGAAAGUUUGUGGCUCAACCAUAAAAUUGCCGUUGAAACUGGUUGACUUGAGUAUAUUUGAGGUAGGCGGAAUGCGUGGUGUAGCGGUGAAUGCAUAGAUAUCACGCAGAACUCCGAUUGCGAAGGCAGCU
rnacentral:rRNA from 1 species